CUACGUUGAGAUGCCCGUCAACAACUGGGGCACCAAAUUCUACAGAUGCGUGCUACAGUUACUAGCAUAUUGCGGCAAUAGCUUAUAGCCAUGGACUGAAAAACACCCCACCACGAAACGAAACGAAACAUUUUAGUGAUGUCUCCAUCAGUCAGAUAAGAGGAGAAACAAUACAAGUAAUGUCAAACCACAAACUGCACAUGUUCUUCGGCUUCGUCCAUCUGCGAUACUGCACAGACAUCAAAUGCUAGUUUCGCGUUAGAAGUGGGUGAUCACCGCUAGACACAAUGCAAUUGAAGCCUUUUCCGAUACCCCAAUUCAGUCAGUCUCAUACCAGUCAGUAACGCAGAUCAGUACCUGGUCAGAGAAGUUUUCCUGAUUGUGAAGAAGUGAGAGCGGACAAUAAUAUUUUGAUUGAAUAUAAUAGAAGUCCAAAGCAUUAGGAGACUAAUAGCAAUCCUAACCUGAGUGGCAAUCAAUCCAAUAUAAACAACUUUCAGACACGACUGAUUCAAAUUUCAGAUCCAUGACACAAAAGCUAAUCAGUUCGUUCAUAGAAAGCUAUGUAAUCUUUGACACUAAUUUAAUUUAAAAUGUAAAAUAAGAUUAAACUGACACCGUGUCAACCAUUUAUAUUAUUCAGAACUCAGAUAUACUGAAAGAUGAUAGAGUACACUUCAUGCAGAUAUAUUUACGAAACUCAUACUGUCUGGCAUCAGGACAUAAAAAACAGUUUCCUAGAUCAUUGUUAAAACCUCAAGGAUCUUGGUCCUCCGCCUGAAUAUUUAAAACUUGGGACACCAUAAGCUUAGAUAGCUCACUAAGUGCAGCUCGCACUUGAUUAUCAUCCGGCUCCCUAUUGCCUGACCAUCCUGGCAAUUGUGAACUCAUCCUCGUGUAUUCACUAGCAGCAGCCUUUGAUUUUCUUUUUGUAGCUAGAACUUUCUCAAGAUCUGAUUGUGAUAAUGGCCUGGGUUCCUGAAAAUAUAAUAAAGAUUGAAGACUCAUCAAGAAGAACAUGGGCAAAAACAAUAAACUUAUUGAAAUUUUUGUACUCGAACUUCAUGCAUAUAUUGAAGACCAGUAACGAGGAAAUGGGCAAGGAAAAGAAAAACCUUACUGAGCAUCUCUGGCCCCAACAAAAUAAUAAAAAGAAGUAUAACUGUUUGAACAAUUGUAAUGAAUUGGCCAUAUUGAAAAGAUUAUACUUUACAACAUUAAUAAUCCAACCGACCCUACGAAGCGAGGACAGUUCCUAGAGAAUCACAUCUCAAGCAUGGACACAUAUAUGUGGCGGACACUGCCACUCCUACGUACUCUUAGUCACAUCCCUGACAAUAUAAUAUUUAUCUUUGGAUAUACAUAUUUCCGAUGUGGACAUUUUAACCUCAGCAGCCCAUUUAUAAGUAUUAGUGUACAUAUCAGUUCCCCAUUUUUCGAAGAUUAAUGUGUAAUCUAGCAUAACUUUAUUAUUAAUUUUAUUAUACUGACUACUAAUUUUGGUACUAUACUAAGGCACACUGUGUAAACCUCUAGGUGAACCAACUUAGCCUACUUCAAAUUUAAGCCAGCUUGAAGACUUCAGGUCCUGAUUAUCAUGAACCCUUACACAAAGGUAGGUGAAAAUUCCUAAAGAGGGUAGUUCAAUUAUUGUGUGGGGAAGUUUUCUCAUUGCAAUUUCCCAUCCCAGAAGAAUUUCCAGGCUUCUAAUAGUCAAAUAUCAGAUUUUUCAUAAGUAAAUAGNNNNNNNNNNNNNNNNNNNNNNNNNNNNNNNGGGGGGGGGGGGAUGUGUUAAUCUACUUGACCUGCUAUUGAUCGGAAAAGUUAAUAAGCAAUGAAAGCAACAUUCAUUCGACUAAAUAAUUAAUGAUGUUGUUCCUUUAGAAUCAAAGAAGUAAUAUACGAGAAAAGAAUACAGACCGAAGAUUCCAGUCCAUUCUUUUCAGCAUUAAGAAGGUCCCUGAUGGGAAAAUAGGCUGCCUGCUUGCAGAGCUCAAGAAGAUCUGAGCCACUAUACCCAUCACAUAAACCAGCUAUGUGAUCAAAGUCAAUUGAACUCUCCACCCUCUCCCCCUUCAAGAUAACCUUUAAUAUAUCAACUCUACCCCUGCGAUCAGGUAAUCCAAUUUUAAAAGCCUGGGGGAGACGUCUUAGUAUUGCUUCAUCAAGCUCUGAUGGACGAUUAGUGGCCGCAAGAACCAUCACCCUUGCAUUUUCUACAUAAAAAUAUCAAAAAUGAGUAAAACUAGUGAAAAGGUAGCUACUGAUCCUGAUCAGUGGUCACAAAACACAGUUAUGACAUGGAAAGAGAAACUGAGAGGUCGACUUUAAUCAAGGUACAUUUUUAUAAAAAGUAAUCAAGAGAACAUACGAUCAGUGGUGAAACCAUCCCAUAACGCCAUGAACUCUGUCUUCAUGUUUGUUAAUGCUUCAUGGUCACUAGAACGCCGCUGACCCAGAAAGCUGUCGACCUCAUCAAUAAAUAUAAUAGCAGGUUGGAGUUUAUGGGCCAAACUAAAUACAGCCGACACUGCAAAUUAUUUUGCAUAUAUUAAAGAAACAAACAGCCUAAAUAUAAAAGUAUUGGGACCAGAACACAGGAACAACUAAUUUAAUGCACAGGACACGAAGCCCAAGACAACUACAGAACCGAAGACACAUUUGAGACCAACUAUAAUUCUUUUUAAGGAAUUUUCUGAAAAAAGUAUAAUAAUCGAAAUUUAUAAGCCAAGUCAAUCAGGCUGAUAUGUAAUCCUCCCUUACCAGCCAAGCUGCAACUAUAUUACCAUUACUGCAAAAAAAACAGGCAAAAGUCCUUGGACCAGAAGCUAAGUAGAGCUAUCAGCAAAAAAACAAGUUUUAGAACUAAGUAUUUAAAAUAUAGUUGGUCAAUGCAAAAGAGAAAAAUAAGAAUCAAGCUUGAUAGAAUUUUAAUCACAUGUCUAAUUAAAGACUAAAUGAAGUAACAACUAAUAAAGAUACAAUGACUAAAGCAAAAACACACUCACCAAGUUUUUGUGCAUCACCAAACCACUUGCUCAUAAGAUUUGCUAUUCUUACGUUAAUGAAAACUGCCCCCGACUCUUUUGCAAUAGCUUUUGCGAGCAUAGUCUUUCCCGUGCCUGGAGGCCCAUAUAACAGCACACCUUUCUGAGGACCAAGGAGUUUCCCGUGUGAAAAAAGUUCUGGCCUACAGAGUGGGAGAAUGACCAUUUCAUGCAGUGACUGCUUAAUGCUGUCCAGCCCUCCAAUUGAAUCAAAUUCCACAUCAAUGUGAUCAGGAUUAAUAACAUCACAAGCUAUUACAUCCUGCAAGGCAUUAUUUGAAAAGUUAAACAUAGCGAUUACAUGGAUCUUUAAACCACCGAAGGAAUCAUGCUCUAGGGGUGUCACCAUGAACGAACUAGAAAAUGAAGAGAAGGGAGGUGACAAUUACACUCAAAUAUAUUUUACAAUUAAUUUUAAAUUUAGGAAAAAUAACUAAAUGCUAUCGCUAAAUCGCUCAAGCACACCUAUACGCAGCCCAACUUUCAAAAUCUCUGCUGCCUACUAUCUCUCUACAUCAUCCCAAUCUGAGUCUUUACAUAUUUGCAGCUUGUCCUCUUCUGUUUGCCUACAUGCUACAGCACAAUUAUUUGAUUUUCUUCUCUUAUUUUUCUUUUCUAUCUGACAUCUGGAUUUAAAUUUUUUUUUUUUGUUGUUGUUGUAUCUCUCUUAUGCUUGUUGCUUGUUCUUAGGGGUGGUAAUUUUGGGUCAUAGUCUAGGUUCAUGUUGGCCCACCUAUAUCAAAUCCUGUUUCUAAUUUAAUCUGAACACGGCGAGAAAUUUAAAUAAAAAAAAUAAUUAACACCCUCAAGCUUUGUUUACGUAAAAUAAGGAAUUACAACAAAUCAAUGGAUGGUUAGUCGGGUCCCAAGCUAAAGCAAAAGAACCACAUGAUCCUUGCACCAAUAUCUAAAAAAUCAAGAUGGUAGAAAUACUUGCAAUUACUAACAAAGUGAAGCAAAGUAAGCACGGUAGAGGAUAUGUAAAAGAGAGAUAUAGAAAAUAUGGUGAUAGAUGAGUGUGACAGAUAAUAAAUUAGGAUUCUCAAAAAUUACAGGUAAAGUUGACUACAAGAACUAGAAAUGGGAUGGGGAUGCUGUUGUGGAGAGAGAUACUAGGUAAAAGAGGUUAUGAACUUCGGGUUGAGAACAAGGUUCCGAAGCAAGAACAAUAGAGACAAGGGAAUAAACGAUACCAGACAGAGUGCAUCUUAGGUUUCGGAUACAGGGUUCAGAAAUAUGUCCUCAAUUGUAGUCUGUUAUCGAAUUUUGAGUAUAAUUACGUAGUAAAACUAUUAUGUUAUAUAUUUAAAUAAGUUAUACCAUAUACGAAGGUAAAGGCUACUGCUAUGGUAGUAACAUUAGCAGGCCGCUUCGGGUUUUUUGGAUCGACCCAAAUAUGCCCUAUUUUUGGGUAAUUGCAACAAAGAUGCCAGGAAAUUUAAGAUACCCCAAGAGAAAAUGAAAAUGAAUAGAAAACUUCAAGAUUUCAAAAAACCUGUGGACAUUAAACCCAGAUAUUUGACUGGGAAUACCCUGCAAAUGAGCUACAUCUACAUUCUAGUUUCUAUGGAAUUGAACGAUGCUCUUGAAUGCACGAUGAUGCAUCCAUUUUUCCUACAUGAAGCAUUGUUAAACAUUAUAUAAAAGGAAUAUAUGCCAAUAAAACAAACUACCUAGAAGUUCUUCUUUCUCAUUUAGCUGAAAUUUUGACUUAAAACAAACAUUGCUAUGUUUAGGUCCUAAAAUUUAAAUUUCAAGCUACUACUAACUCCACUAAGCUUCAUAACUUACCAUUGUACCAUAUGUAGAACCUCCCCCUGUUCCAUAUUUCAGAUAUAAGCACCCAUUUAGUUUGUUCUGUAUAUUCACUUACACAGCAAUUCAUUGCUUAACACAAAUCAUGCCACCACUAGAAAACCCUCAUCCCACAUCCUAGUCUGACAAAUACAUCUCUAAUGGAAAAGUGAAUUUAAUCAUGAUACACAUAAUACAGAACGUACAUCACCAAAAUACGCGAUGACGAUAAAUAAAAUUCAUUAUCCAACAACAAAAAAUAGCCCCAUUGAAACUUUCGACCUAUCUAAAACACAUCCACCAAAAAAAUUAAAAGGGCCUGGUCCAUAAAAGAACCAGAAUGGGAAUACAACACAAUUAUAACCGAGAACACCCAAGAACAACAUUCCAGCCGCAAUUCAACGUCGCUAAAUUAGAUAAUCAAACACAUAAAAUUCAAUAUUUAACUACUUACUAUAAACCCAUAUAUAUUGUUUAUUAGAACCAAAACAUUAAAAGGCUAUUAGUUGUAUAAUCAAACGGAUAUAAUUCAACAUCUAUAACUAAGGUUCAACACAAUUAACAUACAUAACUAAACACCCUAUAAACCCAUACAUACUAAAUUAAUACUCCAUAUAUCCGGCUAUCUCAAUAAUUUAAUUAAUUUCUUUACACUUUUCUUUUUUGACAUCUUCUAGUUUCCUUGCAUCUCAAAACAAUCUAAAAAUAGUAAGCCUAUGUGAAUUGUGAUAUAAAAAUUACUCUUACUUGCGGUACUAGUAUCAUCCACUUUCUCAAAUCUACGCUAUUCUUACAUUUUUCACUAUUCUAUACAAUUGUCUUUCAAGAAAUAUAUUAUAAAAAUCGAAACAUUAAAAAUCUGGUCGGCCAAAACACGGGCUAAAACAAAUUUGAAAAGAGUAGAGUACCUCGUAGGGAUUGGUCUGAAUGAGAGGUCUGCCAAGACGCUUGGCAAUCUCUUUCUUGGCUUCGAAUGCUUUCUUGGAAGCUUCUCGAUUCGGGUCGAGCUGACGAAGACCCACGAACAGAACUAAGCAACUGAAAGCGGCACUGGCUGCAUAUAAUAUCAGUUCUUGUAAGAACUUCGUCUCUCCACCCUUCAUCUUGUUCAAUUUUUCGGGGUUCGCAGGAGCUAAGAUUUCUUUGGUGUCGUGGAAAGAUGAUUUGGGUGCUUGUAGCUUCAGUAAAGCUGAUUUAUCUGGUUAAAAAUUUAUUAUUUAUAAUUAAAGUUUAAUGUUUAUUAGUUGAUUAAAAUUUGAUUUAAUUAUAUUUGUUGAUUGAUUGUUAUUUUUCAUAGAAUUUAAUUUUUAUAAUUUUUUAUAUUAUAAAAUGGUAUUACGAGCAAUAAAUAUUUCCAUCAUCAGUCUAUUAAAUAUUUUUUUAGUAUUGAUAUAUGAGAGUGUGAGAAUGUUUUUUUGUUUAAUUUUAAAUUAUAAUUGUCAUAUUUCAUAUGUGUUCGUUCGUGGAGGAAAUAUAUUGGGUCCGUUUAUUUAACAGAAGCAGAAGUUGCUUCUGCCUUUUACUUCUCUUGACUCGUUUGUAUAAAGAAGUAGAAACACUUCUAAGAAGUUAAGAGCUGAAAAUGUAGCUUCUCUCACAGCUUCUGAUUCUUUUCCAAAGAUUUUAUUAACUUAUUUACUUCCCACUUUUACUCUAUUUUUCUAAUUUAUGUCAUAUUUUUUUUAAACUAGCCCAAACGGUCUCAUUGUUUAUCGAUUCUUGUUUUUCUUACGGCAGAAACUCGAGGACCGGUUCCCUGCGAGAAAAUUCCGGCCUAACGAAGUGGGAGAAUGACCGGUUCAUGCAGCGACUCCUUUAUCGUUAUCAACCUUCAUAUCAAAUCCAGUGACAUUAAUUUCAUGAGGGCAAUCCCUGAUCUAAAUUUCAAAAUUGAAGCAAAUUAUUACAAAUUCAAAUUUGAAUUUCCCAUUAUAAAAUACUCUCCCAUUUCAAUUUACAUGUUCAGUUUCAAUAAAAAAAAGAUAAUUUUUUUAAAUUUGAUAUAAGUUCUUGCAAGAACUUCGUCUCUCCACCCUUCAUCUUGUUCGAUAAUUUAAUGUUGUUUUUAUGGGGUUUUCAGGGUUCGCAGGAGCUAAGGUUUCUUUGGUGUCGUGUAAAGCUGAUUUGGGUGCUUAUAGCUUCAGGCGUAUAGCUGAUUUAUCUGGUUUAAAAUUUAUUAUUUAUAGUUGAAAUUUUAAUAUUAUCUUUUAGUAUUUUGGUAUUGAUUAAUUAAAAUUUGAUUAAAUUUUAUUUAUUUAUCUAUUGUUAUAUUUCAUAAAAUCUAAUUUUUAUAAUUUGUUUAUAUUAUAAAAUGGUAUUACGAGCAGUAAAUAUUUCCAUCAUCAAUCUAUUAAAUAUCUUUUUAAUAUUAAUAUAUGAGAUUGUGAGAGUGUUUUUUUUAAUUAAUUAUAAAUUAUAAGUGUCAUAUUAGAUAUUACAUAUGUGUUCGUUAGUACUUAGUAGAGGAAAUAUAUUGUUUAUCGAUUCUUGUAUUUCUUGCGGCAGAAACUCGAGGACCGGUUCCCUGCGAGAAAAAUUCCGGCCUAAUGAAGUGGGAGAAAUGAGAAUGACCGGUUCAUGCAGCGACUCCUUUCCUUUAUCCGUUAUCAACCUUCAUAUCAAAUCCAGUCUGACAUUAAUUUCAUCAGGGCAGUCACUGAUCCAAAUUUCAAGAUUGGAGCAAAAUAUUUCAAAUUCAAAUUUGAAUUUCAUCUAUUUUAUUAUGAAAUAUUUUCCCGUUUCAAUUUACAUGUUCAGUUUUAAUAAAAAAAAAGAUAUUUUUUUUAUAUUUCAUAUUUAAAUUAAUCUAUCAGAAACAUUCUUCCCAAAUAUUCGAAACUAAAAAAGGUUUAUAAUUUAAUAUUUUAAAUUUAAAAGUUUUAAGAAAUUUCCUUACACAAACGUAUGAAGUUGGAAAAGGCGAUUUUAAUUUUGAUUUUUAGUUUCAAAAUAAUAUUUUGAAACUUAAAUAUUUUUUAAUAUUAACUAUUUAUUUUAGAUAAUUUUUUCUUCAAUAAUUUUGAAAAUAUUCUUUUCUUCCAUUUGAAACUCAAAAAGGUAACUUUGAUGUUUUAAAAUGAUCUUUUUGACAUAUUUGAAGCAUUUUACCUACAUGCUAGAAAUAGAAAGUAUAAUUUAUUUUUAUAUCCGAAGUUAAAAAAUUUCAGAAAAUCCAAGAACUAUUCCAGAGACAUUAGGUCAAUACAAGCAUCUCCCUCAUCAAAUUGAUGAUUUAUGAAGAAUCCAUUCUAUGGGGACGACCUCCAUAUAUAAUUUUUUACGCUGGAUACUUUUUUCUUAAUAAGAAAUCCAUUAAUUAAAUUUGGUUAACGUACUAGUUAAUUUUGAUUAACUACCUACAGCUAAACAAAUAUCUAAUCUUUGAUUAACAACUUUGUUGAGUAUUACUUUGAAAAGCUGCAUUAACUAAUUAAGUAUUCUCUACAAAACCCCUCUGUAUCGAAUCUUGCCUUUUUUCUAAAAGAGAUGUUAACUUUACCCGAGCAAGUGGAACUCAAAUAGAACCAAUCAACUCAUGACUCAUGUCAUCACAAAAAAUCAAAAGAAUAAUAAAAAGAAGUGGAUGUUAGAAAUUUAUAUUUCUACGGCUCUUUCCAAAAUAUCAGUCAGCUUUACCUGUGUUCACUUAUUUUAUAAGAAUAUAGAUCAGAAUAUUUCGCUUCCUUUUUAACGUAAAUUUAAUAUGUCUUUUAAUAAAACAACAAAUAUAUAUAUAUAAUUAUGUAAGAACUUUUUUUCAUUUUAGUUAUUAUGAAUUUUCAUUUUACAUAAUCAUAUGAUAUUUGGAAUGAAAAAUCAGAUAAAAAUAAAUGUAUGAAUUUAUUUUAGCUCCAAUCUCAUUAAUAAUAUGAUCUAUGCACAAAAAUUUUCAUAAAUAAAAAUCUGAAAAAUAAUUAUUAAUGUGUCGCAUAUUCGAAAAAUUAACAAAAGUCAAAAUUCAAGAGCAAACCAUAAAUUCAUUUCCUAUUGUUAUCAUAUUUUAUUUUAAACAAUUUAAUUAAUUGUCAUAUAAAAUAUAAAUUAGGUGAGACAUUUUUCACUCAAUUCCGAGUAUAUUUUAACAUGUUAGCAUUAGAUUUUUACCUUUGAUUUUUAUUUAUUUUUUUUUUUUUUGACAAAUGCAAGAAAAUUUCAUUAACUUGAACAUAAUACAGUCGGGACAAACCCCUAACUGCCAAUACAACCAGGUGGUAAAACAAAUAACAUACUAAAAACAAUUAGAUGAUUUGUUUCCACCUUUGAUUUUUAUUUAUUUUUUUUUUUUUUGACAAAUGCAAGAAAAUUUCAUUAACUUGAACAUAAUACAGUCGGGACAAACCCCUAACUGCCAAUACAACCAGGUGGUAAAACAAAUAACAUACUAAAAACAAUUAGAUGAUUUGUUUCCUGAUCGUUUAACCCAUAGAAUUUAACAAUUCUUAAAGUUAAAAACGAAAUCAAAGACAUCCCAAGCGAUCCAAAUUGCACCAACACCUCUGGAAAUAAUAACAUCGCAAUUGACCAUAUCACAUAAAAACCAUUGUUAGCCCAAUGUUCACAAACACCAAUCGCAUAAAUUGAGAUUGGAGAAGCGGUACCACAGCUAUCUACAUGCCGGACACCAGCUAUAGACAUGCCAAAGACACCCCUACUAUCUACAUGCCAAAUACCAGCUAUAGACAUGCAGAAAGUGUAAACCCGUGAAUGAUGAACGAUCUUUGGUUGUGAAAGGUGAGCUUUUGCAAUAAUCACCACCGUCCCAGAUUCGAUAUUUUUAAUUUUCAAACAAGUGCAAAAGGUGAAAAUCUAUUAAAUCACGAGCGUGGGACAUGUAAUAAAGUCAACAAAUCUAUCGAUCUGCUGAAUCAUAAAUGCCACUGAGAGAGGAUAAAAAAACAUCUCGAAUUUCGAUGCACCAUGUUUCCAACACACGCCAAAAAACCAAACCCCUUUACUUCUGAAUUCAAUGAUGUUACAUCCCAACCAAAAGUCUUCCAAAUCUUUCCAUUACAUCACUAUCUUCCCAUCUGUAUCCACAUUUCUAAGAUACAUACAGAAUAGUAAAAAUACCCAGUUUUUAAAAGAGGUCAGUGGGAAGGUAAUGCAAUUCUAGCCCACCAGUUGUUUACCUAAGAUGUCACUUUUGAUUGUGCUGCAGCAAGUACUACAUACCUCAAAUUUAUGUGUAGUACAAUUUUUUGCAGUACAAGAUGGUUAUCUUUUUAGCACCCAUUCUCCUUGAGUGAAGACUAUUCAAUGAGCCAGCUCUUCUUGAUUGGUAAAGUUCAAACCUUUAUGCAAGAAUAGUAUUUAUAUGCAUGCAUAUACUGUUUUAUUUGACAAAAUUUGAGUUGGGUAUUCAAGAAUUUGUCUUUGGAGUUGGUUGUGAAGUGGAGUUUUGUUAAAAGGUUCUUCAAUUGAAGAAACAAGGUUUUUCUUGAUUGAGCUCAAUAAAGAUUCCAUCUUUAUUUAUCAGAGAAGAUUUUAAUCAGGUUUGGCUGAGUUAUAUUCACAUUUCUUGUUUAUCUAUACUUUUUUUUUUUUUUUUAGUUUAGAAUAUGUUUUGUGCAUAAAGUUCUGAACUUUUUGUUAAAUAAUUGAAUUAUAGCAGAUACUAGUUUGGAACUUUAUUAAUGGGGAGCAAUGAAAUGGAAAUAAGUAGAGAGAUUGAGAAUGAUCAAUUGGGAGAGGUACGGAAUGAGGUAGAGGAUGUGAAGAGAUUGCCUCCAUGGACAACUCACAUUACGAUUCGAGGAAUUGUUGCUAGUAUAGCUAUUGGGAUCGUUUACAGUGUUAUUGUAAUGAAGCUUAAUCUCACCACUGGGCUUGUGCCUAAUCUCAAUGUUUCAGCUGCUUUGCUUGCCUUUGUUCUAAUUAGAACGUGGACAAAGUUAAUUCAUAAGGCUGGAUAUGUUUCGUCGCCCUUCACUAGACAAGAGAAUACAAUCAUUCAGACUUGUGCGGUAGCAUGUUAUAGUAUUGCUGUUGGAGGUGAGUUCAUUUGAUUCAUUCCUCCUAUAUAUAUACAGGCGUUUAUUAAAAUCCAAACAAUUUUGCCCUUUUAACUACAAAUCAGUCAUUCGUAUUCUGAGACGGUGAUUAGUAAUGUGAUUGGUGAUUUAUAUAUGGUUUUAAGAGUUUGUAGACUAAAUGUUCUGUAGCAGAACAUGACAGUGUGUGCAUAUAUAUAUUUACUUCCAACAGGGAUUUAAUGCAUGGUCUCAAUAUUAAAUAGACAACAGCUAAUUUAUACAUUAUUCAUUAUAGGGGGGUUUGGUUCUUAUCUGUUGGGAUUGAACAAGAAUACAUAUGAGCAAGCAGGGAUCGACACAGAGGGGAAUUCACCAGGUAGUUACAAGGAACCUGCUGUUGGUUGGAUGACUGGCUUUCUCUUUGUUAGCAGUUUUGUUGGGCUUUUGGCCUUGGUACCUCUGCGAAAGGUAAAUCUUUAUAACAACUGUUAUGUUCACAGAUCUAUUUCACUACAUUAGUGGUAUCUCGUUUACCUUGAUCAGUCCUAUAUAUGAUGAUACACGUGGCGGUUUCCUAAUUGUGUAUUAUCAUGUUUAUUGUUCUACAGAUUAUAUGCUCGUAUCUUUUCGCUAUCAUAUGGCCUUAUAGAGAGGUUAGGUGAAAAUUAUACUUAAUAAUUUUAAAAUUUUAUUAAUAAUUAGCUAUUGAAAUGAUCAAAGAUCAAUUAAGUUGAGAUAUAUUUUUUUAAUGAAAAUAUGAUGAAAGUUGGCAUGGACUAUAAAGUAUAAACUAAUGAAGUAUCGGUUUGCUCAUUCAUUCGGUGCAAAUGGCAUGCUAACAAAACGUGGAACUUAUACAGCACCACCUUCUAUUUGUUAAUCCAUUGACUAUUACAGAUCUACCAACAAUAACAAUAUUUUAUAUAAAAUAUUAUUUUACUAAAUCGUGAUCAAACAACAUUAACACUCACUGGGAUCCCAACACUCAUCAAUAGGUGGUUUGAUUUAACUUAUAUGAAAAUAACAACUUCAAACUAUGUCUGACUAUUUUUAUCUAUUUAUAAGUUAUCAGUUAUAAAAAUUAUUCAUAUUAAUAAUAAAUUAUUAAUAGAAAUACGACACCUAACUAAAAUUUUUUUUAACGUGCGUCAUUUGCACGCACUAGAAAAUAGCCCUUAUAGUAUUUAAGUUUUUCUAUGGUGUGCCAUAGACACAUGUUAAACACUAAAAUUUAUAAGUUUAGCUGAUUUUGAUCGGCUCCUACUUCUUUACCGAUCACACCAAUCAAAAUCCACAAAACUUGUAGAAUUUGGUGCUUAGCAUGUCGCCAUGGCACACACUGGCCAAACGCUUAAGAAAAUAUCCGUUGUAGUAUUUAUAUAACAAAGUUAAAAAUGGUCUACAAUGAGCUGCCCGUCAACAACUGGGGCACCAAAUUCUACAGAUGCGUGCUACAGUUACUAGCAUAUUGCUGCAAAGCCUGCAAUAGCUUAUAGCCAUGGACUGCAGAACACCCCACCACGAAGAAAAGAAACAUUUAAGUGUUGCUUCCAUCAGUCAGAUAAGAGGAGAAACAAUUUAAAUAAUGUCAAACCACAAACUGCAUAUGUUCUUCGGCUUAGUCCAUCUGCGAUACUGCACAGACAUCAAAUGCUAGUUUCGCGUUAGAAGUGGGUGAUCACCGCUAGACACAAUGCAAUUGCAGCCUUUUCCGAUACUCAAUUCAGUCAGUCUCAUACCAGUCAGUAACGCAGAUCAGUACCUGGUCAGAGAAGUUUUCCUGAUUCUGAAGA
rnacentral:lncRNA from 1 species